CGCGUAGGUGGUUAGGUAAGCGAGAUGUGAAAGCCCCGGGCUUAACCUGGGAACGGCAUUUCGAACUGUCUGACUAGAGUAUGGUAGAGGAUAGUGGAAUUUCCUGUGUAGCGGUGAAAUGCGUAGAUAUAGGAAGGAACACCAGUGGCGAAGGCGGCUACCUGGACCAAUACUGACACUGAGGUGCGAAAGCGUGGGGAGCAAACA
rnacentral:rRNA from 1 species